rnacentral:lncRNA from 1 species
AAAAAAAAAAAAAAAAAAGCUCACCAUCAUUACUCAUCAAGGAAAUAAAUAUAAAUUAAAGCCACCACAAAAAGAUACCAUCAUACACCCACCAAAAUAACUAACAUUUUAAAACAUUAACAAUAUUAAAGUGUUGGUGAGGAUAUGCAAUAGCUGAAAUUCCCAUAAACUUCUUAUAAAAAUGUAAUUUGGAAAGUUAUUUGACACAAUCUACUACAGCUAGAUACAUGAAUAUCCAAGAAUACCACUCCAACAGAAUUAUGUACAUGUUACCAAAAAAGGUACAAGAACACAUGUAAUAUCCAAAAUUUGGAAAUGAUUACCUUUUCACCAACUGUAGAAUGGAUAAAUAAACAUAGUGUGUUCCCACAACAAAAUACUAUCAGACAAUUAGUGUAAAUAAUAUUAAUUCAACAACACCAUUAAAUGAUGUGGAUGAAUCUCACAAACAUUAAGCCAUACCUCCUUAACAGGGUGAUACUGCUCCCACCAGGGUGGAAAUUUAUUCUUAAAGAUGAAAAAACUGAUUCUUUUUAUGUAUAUAAGAAGUGCAGAUAAGAUUAGAGAGUGUUCUUACAUGCUGUCUAAAAUCUGGUUUCUACUAAAUCCUGCUUUAUCAAACUGUCUUACCUCCUUGGUCACAGGGGAAAUUCUGGUCAGAAAGCCUUAUGCUUCGGAGUUUUUAAUAACACACCAUGAAACAAUGAGAAGAAAGAUGCUUACUUACCACAGAGCCCAGCCUUACAAGUACAAGGUGAAUUUCUGAUGGUUUGUACUGACUUUUGACCGAACCUAACUAAAAUGUAUCAACCGUUAGUCAAUGCAGUUACAUACAAGAGUCCAACAGGUAGGAGUAUGUAUAUUAUCUUUGCUUUGUUCGGGAAAAAUAUACAGAUUGAUGUUCUUCACUUGGUUUUUGUUAUGUUAUAUUGGUUUUCUUUCUAGCCUGGUUUGGCUAAGUGAUCAGAUGGGAUACAAAAGAUCCCUCCUUGAAUGAGACCAUGUCUGUGAAACCGAGGUAUGAAACAUAUUUUGUGGUUUGUGAUCUAAUCAUGAAGCAUGAUCAAAAACAGAUCUUAGAAAUUGAAACUGCAUAUCUCAGAUUUUCAUGAUUGUCUGUGCUUUCUCCUUCAGUGCUAUAACCCUCACUUCCAUCAAAGCAUUACAUGUGUAUUAUUUUCUUGUCAAUCAUUUCAAAUUUCAAUAGGCUUAACUGAUGCACUCAAAGUCACCACUCCUUCUAAGGAAUAGAGCAAAUAUGAGGUCUAGAGAGAAAGAAGGAAGCUCUUUCCCUAACCUUCCCUUAAGUCAAAGUUCUUACAUUAUGAACCAAGUUAAAAUGAUAUGGAGAAAGGGAAAGACAGGCUAGUUGGCAUUCUAUUCUUCUAACUUGAACCCACCCAACAAUGUAGCUGAACUGUCAGGUAAGAGAAUAAAGAGUUUAUCCAAUAAAUACUUCUAUCUUUGAGGGCUACUUUCUGAGUGGUAACAACUGCUCUUUUCUGUGUGAGCAGUUAAUUGUUUGCUCUCUGAAGCCUUAUAGAAAGACUAGAAGAAAGUCUAAUUAUAUUAAAUCCAAACAUAAAAUGAACUCUUGGCUGGUAAUUCUCUUUAUAUUUUUCCAAAUUCAAAUUAUACUUGGCAAUGUUGUCCAAAAUAUGUUAGCGCACAAAAGGUCAUGCAAUAAGCUCUCAGAUCAUAGUAUAAAAAUGGCUAAAUAAUGUAGCCUUAGGAGCAUGAAAAUGCCCUAAAUGUGAACAUCAAGUCCCUACUUUCUAAGGAAAGGAAUAAAUGAAAUCUCCAUGGUUUCUUUAACUUGGAAAACACGAUCUUCAGCGAACAACCUUAUACUCACUACUUCAAGGGGAAAAGGUAUUAGCAUUGUCCAUAUUUUGUUCUGACCUUUUAUGAUAAAUGAGAUAACAUAUUACUGAUAAAGUUGGAAUCUCUUUCAUAUACUUCUAAAAUCCUAUUUCUUUAUUCCUAUCCCCAGAGAAAAUCAUUAUCUAGAAUUCAGUAUGUAUUCCUCCAGUACAUAUUUUAAUAAUUUCUCUAAAUAUGUUCAUUUAUAAACACAGUGUAGUGAUAUAUCUUAUGCUUUCAUUUGUAUUAUAUUAUUCUGAUCUUACAGAUACAUCUAUUUUUUUUUCCAUGUCAUAUUAGGUUUUUGAGACAUAUGCAUAUUGAGACAUCUACUUCAUUUAUAUUUCCACUUCAUUUCUCCAUUUCUCAGGAGAAAUUGAAGUCCAAAAUAAAUUUUUUUUAAAGUACUAAGGGAUUCAAGUCCUAAAUUCUCCACAAUUCUAUUUCUUGUUAUUCUUGGUCUGUAAAAGUAUCAAUUGCUGUUUAUUACUUUUAUUGAUAUCUUUGGCAGUAUUAUCAUAUAUUAUUAUAAAUUUCACACUUGUUAAUUCUCUCUCUCUUUCUCUCAUACAAUCCUUCAGCUUAACCUCUGAAGCCAGGACAGUGAACUAUUAGACUAUUAAUCAUGCUAUAAUCUUUUUUUUUUCAGAUCUGAAUGACCAAAUAUAUAUUUAUUAUAUAUAUUAAAACUUUGUCCACAAUUUCUGGCUCACAGUUCCUGGCUCACAACUCCCCAAACACUUGGAAUUUCCUGAACAAUAAGAGCAAUGAGAUCAUCUUUUGUUUUAGUGUGUGGUCUCCUAUUAUCAGUACCUGAAAAUACUUCAGAGUCUUAAUGGUAAAAUGGGUGUCUUAUUAUUCAUAAAAAAGCCCCUUUCCACAACAACUGGGUUUAUGUUAACAAUGAGGUAAGUUUUGGAAAGCACCUAACGAUGGGUGCUGGUUGCUAGGGGAAAUAACCAAAAAUAGAAAGAUGGAACUUUCAGUCCUUUUCCCUGAUAUCUGGAGAGGGAAGAGGAACUGGAGGUUGAACCUAUCACUGAAGGCCAAAGAUUCACACUGCAACAAGCCGUAAGACCCUAAGUCCCUAUUUUACUGGUAGACAUUUUAGUUGUAGUUGUUAUUUUAAGUAUUCACUGUUCUCACUUCUAGUAACAACCUCCCCCCCAAACAACUUCUUCCUUCUUGUUUGCAUUCUUGGAGACAGUAUCAUUAAUAGUCAUUGUCUGUUCCUAGACAAGAUAUAGACAGGCAAACCCAGUUAAGCCUAUCAGACUCUACCAAGACUUUGAAUCAUAAGCUAAGUUAACACAGAUAUGGGGAAGGGGAAUGGAGUUGAUUGACCAAAGCAGCAAUAAGAAACUUGGCUUAUUCUGCUCCCUCAACAUUUGAAAGGCUAGAUUAGCUCUUGCCAUGUGCUAGCCAAGGUCUUUGGUUUUUCUUCAAUGAAUUCUACUUCCUCUCACAUUUGCCAAGGCAGGGAUCUGUAAAUUGCAACUAAACUACCAUGAAGAGACUUCUUACAAUGAUUUGGUUUAAGCAUUACUCAAACACCUUCUGAUCAUUUUAUUGGUCCAAUAACAUGACUUACGUGUGUCAAAUUCUUUUCAAAUACAAAACAAGCAAAUGAGCAUAGCAGCUGAUCCGAGAUCGCCAGGGCAAGGAUUUCAAAAAGAUUUUACCUAUCACAGAGGGCAAAUAAAAUCAUGAUAAGAUUGCAUAAUAUUUCUAGAAGUUUAUAGUUUUUAAAGAUUUUUCACAUUAUCGAGUUCCCGUAGUGGCAUGGAAGAAACAAAUCCAACUAGGAACCAUGAUGUUGUGGGUUCAAUCCCUGGCCUCUCUCAGUGGGUUGAGGAUCUGGCAUUGCCGUGAGCUGUGGUGUAGGUUGUAGACAUAGCUCGGAUCUGGUGUUGCUGUGGCUCUGGUGUAGCCAGCAUCAACAGCUCCGAGAUUAGAUCCCUAGCCUGGGAACCUCCAUAUGCCGUGGGUGUGGCCCUAAAAGGACAAAAGACAAAAAAAAAAUUUUUUUUACAAUAUUACCUUAUUUAACCCUCAUAAGAACUCUGAAGUAGACAGGAAAGAAAGCAUUCUUCCCAUCUUCAAGGGAAGGAAUUAAGUUUGAGAAAGAAAAAGGGACACCAGAGAGCUAUUCAGUUAAAGGAAUAUGUCACUUUAAAUAAAAUUAAUUUACAUACCAAGUCUAAAAGUACAUUGUAAAACCACAUCUAGGGAAGCUCUUUAUGUAUAAGAAGCCAUCCUUC